rnacentral:rRNA from 1 species
CCUACGGGAGGCAGCAGUAGGGAAUCUUCCGCAAUGGACGAAAGUCUGACGGAGCAACGCCGCGUGAACGAUGAAGGCCUUCGGGUCGUAAAGUUCUGCUGUUAGGGAAGAACAAGUGCUAGUUAAAUAAGCUGGCACCUUGACGGUACCUAACCAGAAAGCCACGGCUAACUACGUGCCAGCAGCCGCGGUAAUACGUAGGUGGCAAGCGUUGUCCGGAAUUAUUGGGCGUAAAGCGCGCGCAGGCGGUUUCUUAAGUCUGAUGUGAAAGCCCCCGGCUCAACCGGGGAGGGUCAUUGGAAACUGGGAAACUUGAGUGCAGAAGAGGAAAGUGGAAUUCCAAGUGUAGCGGUGAAAUGCGUAGAGAUUUGGAGGAACACCAGUGGCGAAGGCGACUUUCUGGUCUGUAACUGACGCUGAGGCGCGAAAGCGUGGGGAGCAAACAGGAUUAGAUACCCUGGUAGUCCACGCUGUAAACGAUGAGUGCUAAAGUGUUAGAGGGUUUUCCCGCCCUUUAGUGCUGAAGUUAACGCAUUAAGCNCNCGCGNGGAGAGUCGCAGANGAACUACAAGAGA